GGAAACAGGAUUUGUGUGCAGAUGUGCCCAACUCCAAGGGUUUAAAACCCCGUGACACAGCCUGGAGGGAUCCUCAACAAUCUUCAUUUUUAACGAUUUUGAUGAAGAUGGACUGCAGCUGUCUCUUGAGAAAUGCUUCUUUAGAACAAGUGAAAUUGCUAAUUACACAGUAAGCACUUAGUCAUCUACCAUUACCCAAGUCUUGUUAGUUGUGAGUUGCCCCUUGGUAUCUGCUAAGGUUUGAAUGUGUCCCUCAGAAAGCAUAUGUUGGAAACUUAACCUUUAAUGCAACAGUGUUUGUUGGGAGGUAGGUUCCAAUGAGAGGUAAUUAGAACAUGAGGGCUCUGCAUUUAUGAAUAGAUGAAUGUGUGGAAGUAGGUUCCUUAUAAAAUAAGGUCAGUCACCUUUCCUCUCUCCCAUCCUCUUUUUGCCCUCUGACAUCCUAUGCCUUUCACCAUGAGAUGACACAGCAAGAAGGUCCCUGAUAGAUACCAGUGCUUCAAUCUUGGACUUCCCAACUAAAGAACUAUGAACCAAUAAAUUUCUGUUCAUUACAAAUUAUCCA
rnacentral:lncRNA from 10 species